rnacentral:lncRNA from 1 species
UAAAAAAAUGCAUCGAAAUUGGACUGCAAUGUGUUGAGACUGAUCGGCAGAGGAGACCUUCCAUAGAAGCAAUUAUCAACCAGCUCAAUGGACGGCAUUCUAAUUGAGCUAGGAUGUCGUACUGGUACGAAAUUGACUAUCCACAUGCCAAAAAAUGAAUGGGUUAAGAUAUUUGCAACCCUUAUGUGGAGAAUCACAUAUCCUUAGUUGGUACAGAUUAUUUUUUUACCAAUCAUGCAUUGUUGCAUAAGGUUGUUCAUUUUAUAAUUUCACUGUUUUUUACACUAUUAGCCCGACAUCUGUAGAACCAUCUAGUUAUGCUAGUAAUUUUUUUUUGCGGGGAUAUGCUAGUACAUUUCAGCUGGUUGUAACCUACAGUGUAUGGAAUUUCAGAUCUCCAAUCUCCAGGGAGAAUUAAGUUUGGGUCUUCUUCAGGAGACAUGUGCAAGAAGCAAAGGACAUGCUUGGCUGUUUGCCAAAGUUGAAAUAAGUUGAAAUAACUUCCAUUUCUUAUGAUGAUUGCUACUCCAUGUAUAUUUUCCUGGUAAUGGACUUCUUUAUAGUCCAGAUUUAAGUGCCACGUAAGAAUUUUAUUCUCCCUGUGGAGAUUUUAAGAUGCGCCAACUUUUUC